rnacentral:rRNA from 1 species
UACGUAGGGACCAAGCGUUGUUCGGAUUUACUGGGCGUAAAGGGCGCGUAGGCGGCAAUUCAAGUCAUCUGUGAAAUCUCCGGGCUUAACUCGGAACGGUCAGAUGAUACUGCUUUGCUAGAGUGCGGAAGGGGCAAUCGGAAUUCUCGGUGUAGCGGUGAAAUGCGUAGAUAUCGAGAGGAACACCUGAGGUGAAGACGGGUUGCUGGGCCGACACUGACGCUGAAGCGCGAAAGCCAGGGGAGCAAACAGG